UUUAAACUGUUAGCCGCCAGCGGCUUGACCCGCUGUGGCCGCGGCGGCCUAGUUGUGACUGAAACGGCGGUA
rfam:PRRSV LV4.2.1, complete genome.